rnacentral:tRNA from 1 species
CGGAAUGUAGCUUAUAUUAAAGCUAUUUAUUUACAUUAAAUUGAAAAUUUUUUUUUGAUUCUUUUCGA